CCUGUGGCUGGGGGUGAAAGGCCAAUCAAACCGGGAGAUAGCUGGUUCUCCCCGAAAGCUAUUUAGGUAGCGCCUCGUGAAUUCAUCUCCGGGGGUAGAGCACUGUUUCGGCUAGGGGGCCAUCCCGGCUUACCAACCCGAUGCAAACUGCGAAUACCGGAGAAUGUUAUCACGGGAGACACACGGCGGGUGCUAACGUCCGUCGUGAAGAGGGAAACAACCCAGACCGCCAGCUAAGGUCCCAAAGUCAUGGUUAAGUGGGAAACGAUGUGGGAAGGCCCAGACAGCCAGGAUGUUGGCUUAGAAGCAGCCAUCAUUUAAAGAAAGCGUAAUAGCUCACUGGUCGAGUCGGCCUGCGCGGAAGAUGUAACGGGGCUAAACCAUGCACCGAAGCUGCGGCAGCGAC
rnacentral:rRNA from 1 species